rnacentral:rRNA from 1 species
UACGUAGGGUGCAAGCGUUAAUCGGAAUUACUGGGCGUAAAGCGUGCGCAGGCGGUUGUGCAAGUCAGAUGUGAAAUCCCCGGGCUCAACCUGGGAAUUGCAUUUGUGACUGCACGGCUAGAGUGUGUCAGAGGGGGGUAGAAUUCCACGUGUAGCAGUGAAAUGCGUAGAGAUCCGGAGGAACACCAGCGGCGAAGGCGGCGUCCUGGACUGGUACUGACGCUCAGGAGCGAAAGCGUGGGGAGCGAUCCGG